UUGGGGGAGUUUUAGAAAUAUGCACGAAACUGAAACCCAUUUCUCGGGCAUAAGGCGAUGAUUACAUGAAGGCACGAAACUAGUGUGUGAAUUGCGCACCUGGCCAGUACGCAAGAAGCAUAUGACGUUCGUGAGACCGUGGCAAUUAUUGCAGGUAUGUCCGGUAGAACUGGGUAGCAGGUGGGCGCUAUGUUGAAGCGAAUGCGAAAUAGCAAACCAUUGCGGAUUUGGUUAUGCUAACGAAGGUUAUGAAAAGUUAUGCGAGUCGACCGGUUCUAGCAAACAAGUCAAAUAAGAAUAAGCUACCAUCUGUUUUGAACGAGUGAUUUUGAAUGCUCUAAUGAAUGCUAGAAGCUUAAUCCGUUAUACGGAUUGAAAGAAGAAGUUAUGUUAAAAGCGACAAACCCAAUUAUUUGGGUAGUGGAAUGUGUAUGCUUAACUCUCGUUGAGAGUGUUUAUGCCAAACCCAAUUAUUUGGGUAGUGGAAUGUGUAUGCUUAACUCUCGUUGAGAGUGUUUAUGCCAAACCCAAUUAUUUGGGUAGUGGAAUGUGUAUGCUUAACUCUCGUUGAGAGUGUUUAUGCCAAACCCAAUCAUUUGGGUAGUGGAAUGUGUAUGCUUAACUCUCGUUGAGAGUGUUUAUGCCAAACCCAAUUAUUUGGGUAGUCGAAUGUGUAUGCUUAACUCUCUUUGAGAGUGUUUACGCCGAACCCAAUUACUUGGGUAGUCGAAUGUGUAAGAAAGAAGAAAGCUCAUAUGUGGAUGGAAUUAAAAUGAUGUGAUUAUGAUUCGACAACUGAGAUGACUAACUUUAAAAUCUUGUUGCUGAAGGCAGGUAAAACUUUAAGUUUUUGUUAAAACACAUGUAAGGAAGAAAAGGUACGAAAGAUAUGUUUGAAGCCGUUAGAUGGAUUCAAACAUAGAAGGAAUGAAGGGUAUGGAUGUUACAUUUAAAUCCGUGGGACGGAUUUAAAACAUGUACCUCGAUACGUAUAUAUAUAUAAAUAACAAGAAUGAUAUAUUAAGAAAUGGCCAUGUAUUGACCUGUUAUGAAUAGGACUAACACACUAAUGUCUUAAGAAGGAAUUGAUAAAGUAUUGAUGUAUAAACGAGGUCAUAAAUCAGGAUGCAAUGAAUCUACCGAGGACGGUGAAAGAAUGCUCAUGAAUGAAAGCUCAUGAUACCAGAUGGAAAAGAUCAACCCUGUUAAGAUACGGAUUCGUGAAGGAGCGAGUCAACUCGGGUUGUUACACGUUGGUCGGUGCCAAAUUAGCAAGGUUAGUAAAUGGUUUAACUUAUGGAUGCUAAAUAGAAAGUUACAUAUUGAAUGAUGUUUCUAUGUGAACUGGUGGUACUGAAAUAAAUUAGUACCACCAAUAGUAUACAUUGGAAUAAAUUCCAAUGAACGAAUCGCUAGUGAUGAUGUAUGCUAGAAACUGGCGUUAUAAACUGAAAACGACACUAAUAAGAGCCCUGAAUCAGAUUCUGACUUAUAGGUGAUUAUGAAAGAAAUUUAUUUGAUUUAAGAUCGAGGGACAAUGCGUACAAAUACGUUUAUGCAUGAAUAAAAAAAAAAAACUUGUGCUAAGAUCCUGAAUGCGUCGAUAUUGUAUUAAGCAUCGUGAAUGAAUAGAUGAAAAGGUAAGAGUAGAAGUGGUCUAGUUGGAAUGAGAAAGGUUUCGGGGACGAAGCCUCCUUUAAGGGGGGUAGACUUGUAACGCCCCAAAAACCG
rnacentral:lncRNA from 1 species